rnacentral:rRNA from 1 species
CACGUAGUUAGCCGUGGCUUUCUGGUUAAGUACCGUCAUCUCAAGGCCAGUUACUACCUCAAGUGUUCUUCCUUAACAACAGAGUUUUACGAGCCGAAACCCUUCAUCACUCACGCGGCGUUGCUCCGUCAGACUUUCGUCCAUUGUGGAAGAUUCCCUACUGCUGCCUCCCGUAGGAGUUUGGGCCGUGUCUCAGUCCCAAUGUGGCCGAUCAGUCUCUCAACUCGGCUAUGCAUCAUUGCCUUGGUAAGCCGUUACCUUACCAACUAGCUAAUGCACCGCAGGUCCAUCCAAGAGUGAUAGCAGAACCAUCUUUCAAACUCUAGACAUGCGUCUAGUGUUGUUAUCCGGUAUUAGCAUCUGUUUCCAGGUGUUAUCCCAGUCUCUUGGGCAGGUUACCCACGUGUUACUCACCCGUCCGCCGCUCGCUUGUAUCUAGUUUCAUUUAGUGCAAGCACUAAAAUCAUCUAGGCAAGCUCGCUCGACUUGC